AUUCGAUUUAUAUUCGAAACGAGAUUUGUCAAAGCUAAAAUCUAUAAAAGUAGCAAUACUAGCAUUUCAUUUAAGAUUCUGAGUCUAGGGAAGAUGUACAUGAUAUACAAAGCAGGCUAUUUCAAUUUUUUAUACGACCGCAAAAAUUGAAAAUUUUUUGGUCGUAUAUUGGUAUGACGUUGGCGUCGUCGUCGUCCGAAGACAUUUGGUUUUCGCACUAUAACUUUAGUAUAAGUAAA
rnacentral:lncRNA from 1 species